rnacentral:rRNA from 1 species
UACAUGCAAGUAGAACGCUGAAGAGAGGAGCUUGCUCUUCUUGGAUGAGUUGCGAACGGGUGAGUAACGCGUAGGUAACCUGCCUUGUAGCGGGGGAUAACUAUUGGAAACGAUAGCUAAUACCGCAUAACAAUGGAUGACACAUGUCAUUUAUUUGAAAGGGGCAAUUGCUCCACUACAAGAUGGACCUGCGUUGUAUUAGCUAGUAGGUGAGGUAACGGCUCACCUAGGCGACGAUACAUAGCCGACCUGAGAGGGUGAUCGGCCACACUGGGACUGAGACACGGCCCAGACUCCUACGGGAGGCAGCAGUAGGGAAUCUUCGGCAAUGGGGGCAACCCUGACCGAGCAACGCCGCGUGAGUGAAGAAGGUUUUCGGAUCGUAAAGCUCUGUUGUAAGUCAAGAACGAGUGUGAGAGUGGAAAGUUCACACUGUGACGGUAGCUUACCAGAAAGGGACGGCUAACUACGUGCCAGCAGCCGCGGUAAUACGUAGGUCCCGAGCGUUGUCCGGAUUUAUUGGGCGUAAAGCGAGCGCAGGCGGUUUGAUAAGUCUGAAGUUAAAGGCUGUGGCUCAACCAUAGUUCGCUUUGGAAACUGUCAAACUUGAGUGCAGAAGGGGAGAGUGGAAUUCCAUGUGUAGCGGUGAAAUGCGUAGAUAUAUGGAGGAACACCGGUGGCGAAAGCGGCUCUCUGGUCUGUAACUGACGCUGAGGCUCGAAAGCGUGGGGAGCGAACAGGAUUAGAUACCCUGGUAGUCCACGCCGUAAACGAUGAGCGCUAGGUGUUGGAUCC